rnacentral:sRNA from 7 species
UAUCUCUCUGUACAGGGAAGGAUGAGAAGCUUCGAUUAAGGUUCGACUCGAGCGGAAGCGAGAGAACGUUGCCAACGGCAACGGCCCGAAGGGCGCGACGCGCCGAGUCAUCCUUCCCCUACCAUAA